rnacentral:rRNA from 1 species
CCCUUAGAUGUUCUGGGCUGCACGCGCGCUACACUGACGCACGCAACAGGUGCCUGCUCCGAGAGGACUGGGUAAUCAUUUGAGUGUGCGUCGUGAUGGGGAUAGAAUAUUGUAAUUAUUACUCUUCAACGAGGAAUUCCUAGUAAGCGCCAGUCAGCAGCUUGCGCUGAUUACGUCCCUGCCCUUUGUACACACCGCCCGACGCUCCUACCGAUGGGUGAUCCGGUGAAUGAUUCGGACUUCAGCGGCUCCCCUGGGGUGCGCCGGAGAAAGUUUUGUGAACCUUAUCACUUGGAGGAAGGAGAAGUCGUAACA